rnacentral:lncRNA from 1 species
UACACUCUUUUUUUUCUUGGUAGAUGAUUUUGGGUUGCUUGAGGUAGGAUGGGAAGAGGUUAUAUGCAAAUGGGGAUCCGUGGGGAAACUUCUGGGACUGAGGGAGUGUUAGCUGGUGAGAGGGCUAGGUCCUGAGGUCCUGGAAGGACUGGGGAGCUUUCUUUGUCCAAGUCUAUACUGACUCACUCAAGGGAGAGAUGUCCUACGACUGCCUGGUGGGACAGGGAAGAGCCCUGGUCCGACUUCACUGUCAUCUGACUUGGGAUUAAAGGUUUGAAGAUGUG